CCUCCCAAAAAAUUAAAUAUGUCAAAAUCAGGAUAACGAGAAAAUAAAUACAAAAUUGAACAAAUAUUUUUAAAGAGAAUGUUUAAUGCAUAUGCAACUAUUUUGUUAUAAUAUGUAUUAUAUAGCAUAUGUAUUGUUGACACAGCAAUAUUUUUCAAUAAACCUCUCUUAGAAUCGUUUUUUCGAUAUCAAUGGUUUUCAAUGCUUACAGAUUUACAUUACAUUUCUGAAUUUUACAUUCCUAAUUUUCCACCUACAACAACAGUGGCUGCAAACACAUGCAAAGUAAUUUAAUUGAAGACAGUUAAAUGAAACUCUUAUAUUUUGCACUUAAUCUUAAUAAUAGUGGUGGUACUAAUGAUGGGAGUGGCCUCCGUUAUAAGUGAAAAUUUAGGUACAUAUAAUACACAGGGUGAUUUUAUUUCGACAAAGAAUGGUAUAUCUUUUCUUACAGAUAUAUCAUUGUUUGAUGAAAGACUCUUCUGAGUGAAGUUGAUACCGUUUGAAAGUAAAUCAUAAAGGCCACGAAAAGGCUUUAUUGUUAUUUUUCGUAUUUAAGCCUUUUUUUCCGUUAAAAAACUCUAUCCUAAAGUAAAAUUCCUUAGAAGCUCAAAAGUGGCUCAAAAAUCUGGUGUUGAUACCGAUUGAAAGUAAAUCGAAAAAACCACAAAAGAGUUAUAUUGUGAUUUUUCGAUUAAUACAUGGACGACCUAUUUU